CAUUAGGAGAAUGAUGUUUAUGCAUUUGAUUUAAGACGUACUGUGUUGGGUUCAAAGGGCUUUUAAGAUUUCCAGGUAGAAACCCUGAGUGAUGGUUAUGACUAUUGGGCCUACGGGCCUGAGGACUGGUCAUCCAACUUUUUCUUCUUUUUCCUGUGUAAUUCAUACUACAUUCUUUGAAACAACUUUCAAUAGAACUGAAGAGCUACUUUUUGUCUCUCUCAACUGCCAUUAUCUUCACUCAAGAACUGACCAGCACUAAGACGAUAUGCCUUUGGCCAUGAGUUGUUGGUGACAAUCAAAGAAGGGAAACACAUGUUUCUGGCAGGACACCUGCAAGACACAGAGAAGACCACAGAGCAACCUCUGUGACAAUACAUAGCCUAAUUCGGCAGUGAAUCCAUCAAGAGUGUGGCUUUUUUCUGUUGAGGAACUCAGAGUUCAGGAGCAGUGAAACUCAAGACAUCUCGAAUGAGGAAAAUGUAAAUUGCAGAAAGCUCCAUGCACUGCAGAUUCAAAUGUUACAUGAAGGGGACCAGAAAGGCCAGAAACAAUUCGUGUGAUUUGGCUGGCUGUAAAGAAAAACUCAGCAUUUGGUGAAAGGUGGGGUCCCCCAUGUGAGUGCAGGGGAAGCGGCUCUUCUCCUUCCUGGAGGAGCUGAGUGGAUUCUUGCUGAGACCAGCCGUCCAUCAACUCGGCCUCUUCCAGCUUCCUCUGCAGAAUGGCUCCCUGGAGCCCCCCGUGAGACACUCCAGGAACCAGCUGCCUGUCAGCCACCUUAUUAAACUGGUUUCCAGAUGUCUCCACCUCAGAUUGAGGAAGCAGGAAGAGAGUGAAGGGUGGGAGUUUGUCUCUUAAAUGAAGUCAGCUGGGUCCAUAAUAAAUAAUGCUUUGUACUGAUGAGGCAGGUGCGUGGAAGAUGGUAUGAUACAGAAGACAUCCUCAGCGAGGCCAUGUGUGUGUGAGAGAGAGGCUGACAGACCAGACCAUUUGGGGCGAGAGAGGAGAGCCAGUUGGACAGUUAGAGGUGGAGUUGUGGUAGGGAAGAUCUGUAAUUGUGAAUGUUUGAGAAAAACAGGAAAGUGAAAGAAAAGAAGGCUGAAAAGGAGAGAUGGGGACAGAGGGCCAAACAGAAUUGUUGUGCUUAAAAUUUUCCAUUGUGCUGGUCUGCCAGGGUCUGUCUCAUUCACAACAGCUAAUAAAAUCCACAGCAAACCCUGGGCCUUGCGGUAGACCAAGCCUGGUACUUUACAGACAGCAGCUCUUCUACUCUUUGUAACUACCUUAGGAGGGAGCUACUGCGAUUAUACCACUUACGGACAAGGAAAGCGAGGGUCAAACAUUAUAGAGAACUUGCUCAAGGUUGCUCCAUGGGACUAGGGAAUGUGGCACCCACGUGUGUACUCUUAGUCAUUCCAUUCUCCUUCCUGGUGAAAUUUGGAGAAACAAUCUUCCCAGGUAGAGAUCUCUUCACUGCCGAUUGGCAUAUACCUGUGAGUCUUACCUAAAUGUGAGUUCAGGCUGAGAGACAGAGGAAGAAAUAGGAAUGCAUCCUUUCUUCCAAGCAAUUGUUUUGAGCAGUAUCACACCUAGCCAGUUGGAUGAACUUAUUUUUCUCUAGCUCAUGACUGAAUGGACUGC